GACGAACGCUGGCGGCGUGCUUAACACAUGCAAGUCGAACGGAAAGGCCCUGCUUUUGUUGGGUGCUCGAGUGGCGAACGGGUGAGAAACACGUGAGUCACCUGCCCUUUACUUUGGGAUAACUUCAGGAAACUGGGGCUAAUACCGGUUAUUCGCUCCUGCUGCGUAGUGGGGGUUGGAUGGUUUGGGCGGUUGGGGUUGUACUCGCGGCUUAUCAGACUGUUGGUGGGGUAGUGGCUUACCCAGGCGUUGACGGGUAGCCGGCCGGAGAGGCUGACCGGCCACACUGGGACUGAGAUACGGCCCGGACUCCUACGGGAGGCAGCAGUGGGGAAUAUUGCACAAUGGGCGGAAGCCUGAUGCAGCAACGCCGCGUGCGGGAUGACGGCCUUCGGGUUGUAAACCGCUUUCGCCUGGGACGGAGCGGGAGUGACGGUAAUGGGUAAAGAAGCACCGGCUAACUACGUG
rnacentral:rRNA from 1 species